rnacentral:tRNA from 1 species
AGGUCACUAGCUCAACUGGUAGAGCACCGGUCUCCAAAACCGGGGGUUGGGGGUUCGAUUCCCUCGUGGCCUGCCA